UCAUACACACACAUUUCUCAUUUACACUAUGUUGAAAAACGAGAAAAAA
rnacentral:sRNA from 1 species